AUGAGUAAUAAGACUGUUAGAGUGCAGUUAUAUAGUAGUUUAUCUAUACAUGAUCAGGUGUCAUUAUCCAGCCUGUCCCACUUUGUGUGGGCGUUUGCUGGCACGUCUGUCCCCCCUGUGCGGUUUACGUCUGCCCCCCCCCCCGUGCUGUUUGUCUAUCCUGUGCGUGUACGUCUGUGUCCCCCUGUGCGGUUUACGUCUGUCCAGUGCGUGUACGUCUGUGUCCCUCUGUGCGGUUUACGUCUAUCCUGUGCGUGUACGUCUGCCCCCCCUGUGCGGUUUACGUCUGUGUCCCCCUGUGCGGUUUACGUCUGUGUCCCCCUGUGCGGUUUACGUCUGUGUCCCCCUGUGCGGUUUACGUCUGUGUCCCCCUGUGCGGUUUACGUCUGUGUCCCCCUGUGCGGUUUACGUCUGUGUCCCCCUGUGCGGGUUACAGCUGUGUCCCCCUGUGCGGUUUACAGCUGUGUCCCCCUGUGCGGUUUACAGCUGUGUCCCCCUGUGCGGUUUACGUCUGCCCGUCCCCCUGUGCGGUUUACAGCUGUGUCCCCCUGUGCGGUUUACGUCUGCCCGUCCCCCUGUGCGGUUUACAGCUGUGUCCCCCUGUGCGGUUUACAGCUGUGUCCCCCUGUGCGGUUUACAGCUGUGUCCCCCUGUGCGGUUUACAGCUGUGUCCCCCUGUGCGGUUUACAGCUGUGUCCCCCUGUGCGGUUUACAGCUGUGUCCCCCUGUGCGGUUUACAGCUGUGUCCCCCUGUGCGGUUUACAGCUGUGUCCCCCUGUGCGGUUUACAGCUGUGUCCCCCUGUGCGGUUUACAGCUGUGUCCCCCUGUGCGGUUUACGUCUGCCCGUCCCCCUGUGCGGUUUACGUCUGCCCGUCCCCCUGUGCGGUUUACGUCUGCCCGUCCCCCUGUGCGGUUUACGUCUGCCCGUCCCCCUGUGCGGUUUACAGCUGUGUCCCCCUGUGCGGUUUAUGUCUGCCCGUCCCCCUGUGCGGUUUACAGCUGUGUCCCCCUGUACGGUUUACGUCUGUGUCCCCCUGUGCGGUUUACGUCUGCCCGUCCCCCUGUGCGGUUUACAGCUCUGUCCCCCUGUGCGGUUUACGUCUGCCCGUCCCCCUGUGCGGUUUACAGCUGUGUCCCCCUGUGCGGUUUACAGCUGUGUCCCCCUGUGCGGUUUACAGCUGUGUCCCCCUGUGCGGUUUACAGCUGUGUCCCCCUGUGCGGUUUACAGCUGUGUCCCCCUGUGCGGUUUACAGCUGUGUCCCCCUGUGCGGUUUACAGCUGUGUCCCCCUGUGCGGUUUACAGCUGUGUCCCCCUGUGCGGUUUACAGCUGUGUCCCCCUGUGCGGUUUACAGCUGUGUCCCCCUGUGCGGUUUACAGCUGUGUCCCCCUGUGCGGUUUACAGCUGUGUCCCCCUGUGCGGUUUACGUCUGCCCGUCCCCCUGUGCGGUUUACAGCUGUGUCCCCCUGUGCGGUUUACGUCUGCCCGUCCCCCUGUGCGGUUUACAGCUGUGUCCCCCUGUGCGGUUUAUGUCUGCCCGUCCCCCUGUGCGGUUUACAGCUGUGUCCCCCUGUGCGGUUUACGUCUGCCCGUCCCCCUGUGCGGUUUACAGCUGUGUCCCCCUGUGCGGUUUACAGCUGUGUCCCCCUGUGCGGUUUACAGCUGUGUCCCCCUGUGCGGUUUACAGCUGUGUCCCCCUGUGCGGUUUACAGCUGUGUCCCCCUGUGCGGUUUACAGCUGUGUCCCCCUGUGCGGUUUACAGCUGUGUCCCCCUGUGCGGUUUACAGCUGUGUCCCCCUGUGCGGUUUACAGCUGUGUCCCCCUGUGCGGUUUACGUCUGCCCGUCCCCCUGUGCGGUUUACAGCUGUGUCCCCCUGUACGGUUUACGUCUGCCCGUCCCCCUGUGCGGUUUACAGCUGUGUCCCCCUGUGCGGUUUACGUCUGCCCGUCCCCCUGUGCGGUUUACAGCUGUGUCCCCCUGUGCGGUUUACGUCUGCCCGUCCCCCUGUACGGUUUACGUCUGUGUCCCCCUGUGCGGUUUACGUCUGCCCGUCCCCCUGUGCGGUUUACAGCUCUGUCCCCCUGUGCGGUUUACGUCUGCCCGUCCCCCUGUGCGGUUUACAGCUGUGUCCCCCUGUGCGGUUUACAGCUGUGUCCCCCUGUGCGGUUUACAGCUGUGUCCCCCUGUGCGGUUUACAGCUGUGUCCCCCUGUGCGGUUUACAGCUGUGUCCCCCUGUGCGGUUUACAGCUGUGUCCCCCUGUGCGGUUUACAGCUGUGUCCCCCUGUGCGGUUUACAGCUGUGUCCCCCUGUGCGGUUUACAGCUGUGUCCCCCUGUGCGGUUUACAGCUGUGUCCCCCUGUGCGGUUUACAGCUGUGUCCCCCUGUGCGGUUUACAGCUGUGUCCCCCUGUGCGGUUUACAGCUGUGUCCCCCUGUGCGGUUUACAGCUGUGUCCCCCUGUGCGGUUUACGUCUGCCCGUCCCCCUGUGCGGUUUACGUCUGCCCGUCCCCCUGUGCGGUUUACGUCUGCCCGUCCCCCUGUGCGGUUUACGUCUGCCCGUCCCCCUGUGCGGUUUACAGCUGUGUCCCCAUGUGCGGUUUGUCUGUCCUGUGCGUGUCUGUCUCCCUGUCCCACCACCAUUUGUUGCCUUGCUUUAAUCAGGCCCAGAAGAAAGCCGUUGUAUUUUGGCCCGUCUGUCAUCGGAGGCCGUCCCUGAUAACGCUAUAACCAACGUUUCCUCCACUCGGAUGCCACCGCCAGAUAAAAAAAAAAAGGCCAAAUCAAGAGGAGAGGCGACGCUCUCGCUUUCUCUCACCUCCACCCACUCCCCCUUUCUUCCAUCUGUUUUCCUGGCAUAUUAUUCAUUUCCUCUUUUGGAGGCAGAAAAAGAACCCGGUUCUGAUUCAUGACUCCUUGAUUUUUGUUUGCAUUUCUUUUUCUUGUUUUCUUUUGUUUGAUGUUUUUUAAAUGAGCUGUCUUUUUGUUUUUGUGUUGCCUUUUCCUCCGCUAAAAGGGAGUUUAAAGUCUAAAUGUUCCCGUAAUGCUACUUACUGUACAUAUCAGAGGCUUGGUGUGCCCUGUGGGUUGUAGGCACACACCACUGAGACAUGUCAGUUAAUGAAUACAGGAUUGAUAUUAAUUAGGUUUGUUCUGGGUGUUUCUGUGUGGGAGUCUGUCUGUGCAUCCACUUCUACUGUUCACAUUUCAUUGACCCCUUCUUCCACACACACACACACACACACACACACACACACACACCCACACACCCAACCAACCAACCAACCAACCAACCAACCUAAUUAAUUUAGUGAAUGUGCAACCUAGACUAGUGAAAUUGUUGCAAAGCCACAAGUAAUGGCAACUCUUGUUCGUCACAAUAAGGCGUUUUGAGUUGCUGCGUUAAGAUUCUUAAUUCUAGGAAAUUGAGAGGAUUUGAUAGUUGGGAUUUUGUAUUACAAUGUCAUGACUUGGAACAACUGGCAGAGAAGGAAAGCAACCAGAUCAAUGCUCUUAAGUGUUCCUGCAAAGAACCUAUCACAUGUUAACGCCUUUCAGUUUAGCCAUGAAAAUGCUGGACAAUUUGGUACUAUUAUAGUCUAGAUUAAACAUUCUGAUAAUUGCAAGUCUAGAAAUGGAAACAAACAAUUCUCUAUCCUGGAAUUUAGAGAACCAUUUUCUCUCCAUAUGGUUGCGAUACAUAUACACUGAGUGUAUAAAAGAUUUUAAGAAUACCUUCCUGAUAUUGGAAUCCACAUGGUGUAGAAAGCGUUUCACAGGGAUGCUGGCCCAUGUUGACUCCAAUGCUUCCCACAGUUGUGUCAAAUUGGCUGGAUGUCCUGUUGGGUGGUGGACCGUUCUUGAUACGCACGGGAAACCUGAGUGUGGAAAAACCAAGCAGCGUUGCGGUUUUUGACAAACUGGUGCGCCUGGCACCUACUACCAUACCUCGUUCAAAGGCACUUCCAUUUUGUUCUUGCCCAUUCACCCUCUGGAUGGCACACAUACACAAUCCAUGUCUCGAUUGUGUCGAGGCUUAAAAAUGUAACAUGUCUCCUCUUCAUCAACACUGAUUUUGAAGUGUAUUUAACAAGUGACAUCAACAAGGGAUCAUAGUUUUCACCUGGUCAGUCUGUCACAGAAAGAACAGGUGUUAUUUUGAUUAAAAAUGAGCAAAUAAGACUGUAUACAAUAAUGAACUACAUUGCUCCGUAUUUGUUGUUUUGCCUGAUCUUUAUCAAGGGUGCCAAUAAUUGCGCACCUGACUGUACAUGCAUAUAGCCUUUGUGUUUGUAAUGCACUGAGCUAUGCGCUCCACUGAACAUGUUGCCAUUGACCCUGAACUUAAACCUCACCUUAUGUGUAAACAAACACAGCUAGAACUAUGCCAUGAGGUCUAGGUCUGGACUCACCCAAUUCUUUGUUCAAAUACUAGUUUGUGUUUACUGAAACACUGAGGAAGUUGGAUAUUGUAGUACUGUCUGUAUGUUUAGUGUUUUUCACUAGUUUAGAUACCUGGCAGUUGGUUUUAGUUGUAAAUGAAGGUUCACGGGUCAAAGGUUGGUGGUUGCAACGCUGGUCCUAAAAAAUUCACUGGAGAGAAGAGGGUGCGGAUUUCACUUUUAUUCUCUUAUUUGUGGCGCCACCCACCCAGAGCUUACUUAAAAAAUAAAUAAAAUGAAUAAAUUACUUGGAGGUAAGUUGACUGUCUCAACCUUGAUUCCACUGAAACGUGUGACGUUAGAAUAGCACCUCCCAACAGGAAAAUAAAGAGCCUUGAUAUCGUAGUGCAGAGGCCGCCCAGUUGGGGUCUCAACUUACUGUUGCAAGUUAGAAUGGUAGAAUACCAAAAGUUGCAAUUUUGAAAUGUGGUUGUGCGUCAUCAGUUUCUCUUAUGUCAGUCAUUGAUAGACAAUUAGCCCAUGUCAGCUCGCAUAGUUUAGCG
ensembl:lncRNA